AACGAACGCUGGCGGCGCGCCUAAUACAUGCAAGUCGAGCGAGAAGGUGUAGCAAUACACUUGUAAAGCGGCGAACGGGUGAGGAAUGCAUGGGUAACCUACCCUCGAGUGGGGAAUAACUAGCCGAAAGGUUAGCUAAUACCGCAUACGUUUCCGGAACUUCGGUUUCGGAAAGAAAGCAAUACCGUGGGUAUUGCGCUCCUGGAUGGGCUCAUGUCCUAUCAGCUUGUUGGUGAGGUAACGGCUCACCAAGGCUUCGACGGGUAGCUGGUCUGAGAGGACGAUCAGCCACACUGGCACUGCGACACGGGCCAGACUCCUACGGGAGGCAGCAGUAAGGAAUAUUGCGCAAUGGACGAAAGUCUGACGCAGCGACGCCGCGUGGGGGAUGAAGGUCUUCGGAUUGUAAACCCCCUUUUCGGGAGGGGAAGAUGGAGUGGGUAACCACUUGGACGGUACCUCCAGAAGCAGCCACGGCUAACUUCGUGCCAGCAGCCGCGGUAA
rnacentral:rRNA from 1 species